rnacentral:lncRNA from 1 species
UAACCAAGUAUAAAAAUUAAACUAAGCGGCAACGAUCAUCAUCUUUCAACAUGACAAGAACUUAAACCAUCACAAUUAAUCACAUAUCAUUAGGUUCAGGUGAUGCAUUUUUAUUUAAGCAUGACAUGGUGAAAUAAACACACAAACUGAAAAUGAAGAGAAAAUAAAAUAGAAAAUACUACGCACACCCAACACACAUGCUGAAAUAAAUAAAGAAAAGAAAAC